rnacentral:rRNA from 1 species
AACGAACGCUGGCGGCAGGCCUAACACAUGCAAGUCGAGCGCCCCUUUCGGGGGGAGCGGCGGACGGGUGAGUAACGCGUGGGAACGUACCCUUUGCUACGGAAUAGCCUCGGGAAACUGGGAGUAAUACCGUAUGUGCCCUUCGGGGGAAAGAUUUAUCGGCAAAGGAUCGGCCCGCGUUGGAUUAGGUAGUUGGUGGGGUAAUGGCCUACCAAGCCGACGAUCCAUAGCUGGUUUGAGAGGAUGAUCAGCCACACUGGGACUGAGACACGGCCCAGACUCCUACGGGAGGCAGCAGUGGGGAAUCUUAGACAAUGGGCGCAAGCCUGAUCUAGCCAUGCCGCGUGAGCGAUGAAGGCCUUAGGGUUGUAAAGCUCUUUCAGGGGGGAAGAUAAUGACUGUACCCCCAGAAGAAGCCCCGGCUAACUCCGUG